AAAUCUUUCUUCAUUGCUCAUGUCGUGGAGUAACAGAAGAAAAAGGAUAGAAAUACAAGGUAACACCUGGCACAGUAUGGCACCAAUCGAUGUAUGAUGGAACUAGCUGGUGGAUACCUGCUAGCAAACCAAGAACUAUUACAGAAUAUCACGAGUUGUAACCAUUACUUCAGGAAGUUGGUUCAUGCAAAGUGCUAAUAAAUCCCCGGGAAUUCACCACCUGGAUUAAUAAUCAUUAGAAGCAGAUAAACUGCUAACUAUAACUGGCGUUUAUCACCUAUGUGAUCUAUUUCACAGCUCUAUUUUAAUUAUCAGCUAGGCUCCAAAGUUCAGAUCCUUGUCUGGAUUAUUAAUAAUAUGUGUCUGGAGAACGGGAGAUUAUUAUCGUACAAGAAUGUUACCUUUGAAUUUCUCGUGCGCGCAUGGUCGCAUAAUCACUGAGAAUCAACAAUAACUUCUGAUAUCAACCUUGACCAUGAAACGCCAUUACAUCGGCAAUUGGGUUAACAAACUGCAUAUUUAUAUCCAGACAUUUUAAACUUGGAUUUAUAAAGUUCAAUCACAUCUACUACACGUAUGAUCGACAUUCAGAGUUUUUAGAUACCCUUAUUACUUGAAGAACUUGAUCACAAACGAGCGGAGAGACUUAGCAAGAUGAUCUCGAAGACGGACAGAGUUGAGGCGGCCA